GCUCAUUGCUGGUUUGCAACGAGCUAGCAUCGACGGUUAGCUAGUUCUAUCCUUCCUCAUACUGUCUAUCGCUUUUUCCGGCAACAUUUCUGCUGCAAUACCAGCACAUGAUAUGUAGCUGCCAAGGGGAGAUUUACACAUGAUGAUAAGCUUGCGAGGAUGAACAAUAGCAUGCCACUACUUCCCUUACUUCAUGGCGAUCAUGAUACGAUGUUGCACGGCCAUGAUUAUGACUAUUCUAAUAUGCCCUUUCAAUAGGUCAAGCCUACCUCUAUUUCCCCUACAUCAAGACGACUACAACAAGUUCAAGACAA